rnacentral:lncRNA from 1 species
UGAGGUUUAAAUCUAUUGUAGGAAUUACUAAGAUUUAAUUUAAGGUUUAGAGUUUGGUUUAGGGUUUGGAUAGGAUUCAAUUUAAGAUUAGGAUUUGGUUAGGAUUUGAUUUAGGAUUAGGAUUGGUUUAGGAUUUAGGAUUUGGUUAUGGUUUGAUUUAGGAUUAGGAUUGGUUUAGGAUUUAGGAUUUAGUUAUGGUUUGAUUUAGGAUUUAGAAUUUAGGAUUUAGGAUUUAGUUUAGGAUUUAAGGUUUGGUUAGGAUUUGGUUAGGAUUUGGUUAGGAUUUGAUUUAGGAUUAGGAUUUGGUUUAGGAUUAGGUUUUGAUUUAGGAUUAGAUUUUGGUUAGGAUUUGAUUUAGAAUUAGGAUUUGAUUUAGGAUUUAGGAUUUUAUUUGAGUUUGUUUAGGAUUUAAGAUUUAGUUAGUUUUUGGCCUAAAGUUUGAAUGAAGUCCAAUAGGAUUUCAACUAGGAUUAAAUUAAGAUUGAAUUGAGAUGUAUUUGAAAUAUGUUUGUAAUAAUUUUAAUAUUUUUUUAAGAUUUCUUAUUAUUUCUUUGUAAUUCCUUUGAGGUUUCUCUAAAUUUCAUUAAAGCUUGUUUAGCAUU